rnacentral:rRNA from 1 species
GACGAACGCUGGCGGCGUGCUUAACACAUGCAAGUCGAACGGAAAGGCCCUGCUUUUGUGGGGUGCUCGAGUGGCGAACGGGUGAGUAACACGUGAGUAACCUGCCCUUGACUUUGGGAUAACUUCAGGAAACUGGGGCUAAUACCGGAUAGGAGCUCCUGCUGCAUGGUGGGGGUUGGAAAGUUUCGGCGGUUGGGGAUGGACUCGCGGCUUAUCAGCUUGUUGGUGGGGUAGUGGCGUACCAAGGCUUUGACGGGUAGCCGGCCUGAGAGGGUGACCGGCCACAGUGGGCCUGGGGUGCGGCCCAGACGGCUACGGGAGGCAGCAGGGGAGAAUAUUGCACAAUGGGCGGAGGCAGGAUGCAGCAACGCCGCGUGCGGGAUGACGGCCUUAGGGUUGUAACCCGCUUUCGCCUGGGACGAAGCGUGAGUGACGGUAAUGGGUAAAGAAGCACCGGCUAACUACGUG